AACGUAGGUACCGAGCGUUAUCCGGAUUUACUGGGCGUAAAGCGCGUUCAGGCGGUUUGGCAAGUCGGGCAUGAAAUCUCUCGGCUCAACCGGGAGAGGUUGUCCGAUACUGCUGGACUUGAGGGCAGUAGAGGGUGGUGGAAUUCCGGGUGUAGUGGUGAAAUGCGUAGAUAUCCGGAGGAACACCAGUGGCGAAAGCGGCCACCUGGACUGUACCUGACGCUGACACGCGAAAGCUAGGGGAGCGAACGGG
rnacentral:rRNA from 2 species